rnacentral:rRNA from 1 species
UUGAACGCUGGCGGCAUGCUUUACACAUGCAAGUCGAACGGCAGCGGGGGCUUCGGCCCGCCGGCGAGUGGCGAACGGGUGAGUAAUGCAUCGGAACGUACCCAGUCGUGGGGGAUAACUACGCGAAAGCGUGGCUAAUACCGCAUACGCCCUGAGGGGGAAAGCGGGGGACCUUCGGGCCUCGCGCGAUUGGAGCGGCUGAUGUCGGAUUAGCUAGUUGGUGGGGUAAAGGCCUACCAAGGCGACGAUCCGUAGCUGGUCUGAGAGGAUGAUCAGCCACACUGGGACUGAGACACGGCCCAGACUCCUACGGGAGGCAGCAGUGGGGAAUUUUGGACAAUGGGGGCAACCCUGAUCCAGCCAUGCCGCGUGAGUGAAGAAGGCCUUCGGGUUGUAAAGCUCUUUUGUCCGGGAGCAAACCUUCGUGGUUAAUACCUACGGAGCUGAGAGUACCGGAAGAAUAAGCACCGGCUAACUACGU